GUCCCAGACUCCUACGGGAGGCAGCAGUGAGGAAUAUUGGUCAAUGGGCGGGAGCCUGAACCAGCCAAGCCGCGUGAAGGAAGAAGGCGCCAGGCGUCGUAAACUUCUUUUGUCGGGGAACAAAGGGCGCCACGCGUGGCGUUGUGAGUGUACCCGAAGAAAAAGCAUCGGCUAACUCCGUGCCAGCAGCCGCGGUAAUACGGAGGAUGCGAGCGUUAUCCGGAUUUAUUGGGUUUAAAGGGUGCGUAGGGGGUCCGAAAAGUCGGUGUAAAAGGCCCGGGGCGCAACCCGGGCGAGCCGUUGAAACUGGUUUUCUUGAGUGAGCGAGAAGUAUGCGGAAUGCGUGGUGUAGCGGUGAAAUGCAUAGAUAUCACGCAGAACUCCGAUUGCGAAGGCAGCAUACCGGCGCUCAACUGACGCUCAUGCACGAAAGUGUGGGUAUCGAACAGGAUUAGAUACCCUCGUA
rnacentral:rRNA from 1 species